UUCUACUUAAUAGAAAAGUGGGUUAGAAGCAAGGAUGGACAUGCUUGCCUCCUUAUAUUUUAAGGGCAAUUAUGACAAUUCACAUGUCUCUUUAUAUCUGUCAGCAAACUUACGUGUCAAUUAAAAGUAGCAGGUACAAAUCCUUUUAUAUUCUUAUUUUGGGACACGUGUUUCUGUGAGUUCAUUAUCACUUUUUGCUUCUCAUCUUCUUCUCCAAUCACACUCUAGAUCUCACUCACUCACUUGCAUCCUCCAUCUUCUCUACUGUGAUUCUCAGAUAUUUUUUCCAUGUUCUUCUCUGCAAGCUUCUCUCUUCUCUUCAUCUUUUCUUCUUCUGGAUUAACAUUAGUGUCUAUUUGGGCAUUUGAUAGAUUUAGUUCUGUGAGUUCAUAAAGUUUUGAUAUUUACCAAGAUAUGAGUCAAAUAGGGAUUGCAAGAAAUUAGUUUUUGAUAUCAUUCUCUGGAUGUGUAGUGGGUUUUGAUCUUUAUAAAGAUCUAGAUAUGUAAUGGGUUUUGAUAAGACUCUUUAUCUAUAAGGUAGAAGUAGCUUAAUGUUAUAACAAUUACAACUUUGGAUUUUCCCCAAUUGAGAUUUUGAGAAAUAGGGUUUUGCUUAAAGAUUAAGUUACGUCUAGCCAAUUCAUGAUACAUCGAUUUCCAUGCUUUUAAAUUCUAGCAUCAAUUUUAAUCUCGAAAUUCUUGGUAAUAGAUAUCGGUUCUCAUGCUUUUAUUCCGUUAAUGAGGAGUUCAAAUAAUGAUAACUUAUGCUAUUACUUGAAUUAAUAUGGAGUUCAAGGAAUAAUCAUUGUGUUAAAGAAAAAAUAAAGAUACUGGUGAUAAGGGAAGCUACAGAAUGUUGGAUUGGAAAAAAGAAAUAAUGAAGACGAUGGUGUUUUGGAGAUUUUGGCAAACAAACAUCCUUAAAGUAUAUAGAGCAGAUACAACACGAUGAUACUCCUAGAUCCUACAUAUCCACAAGCCACCGCAUUAGCUGCAUGGGCCAAAACAAUUUAACAAUUGCUGAUUGAGUAUACGGCAAAGAGUACACCCCCAGAAGGCACUCUUCUUUUUGUUCCCUUUGAAGAAGAAUCAAUACUCAUAUACGAUAUCCAAACGCAGUCGCAGGGGCAAAUAUUCUACAUCGAUGGUGAACUCUCACUGAUAAUGAGGACCAAUAUUUCUGCUCAAUGGCAUGCUCAAAUUGUAAGAUGCCAUUUUUAAGAACUACUUCACCGAGGCCAAUCUACUGUAUACACUGUGACCGAUCUACCCAACUUAUCCCCAGGUAUUUUUAAUGAACAUAGCACUAAAAAAUACUCUUCCUUUGAAGAAGUACUGAAAGAUGUUUGAAUUUUUUGCUUCAUUUAUAAGAAAUACACUUUUGCUACCCUUCACUACUUUACAUUAAAAUGAACACUCAAAGUUUUAAGUUAAAUUGUUCAACCCAACCGCUGGAACUUAAACUUCCUAUUCUCUGUUACUAUAUAUCUAUGAUACUAUUGUAUUCUUAAAUAUAGGUAAAUUUGAAAUUAAGCCAAAGACUAGAAACCAAUUUUAUUCUUAAUCUAUUGCUCUGAGGUAAUGGAACUUACAUAUCAGUGUAUCCUUUUUCUGAUUUCAACAACUUUCCUCGUAUCUUAAUUAUCUUCUAGAUAGCUCAUUUAUGUUGACACCAUGCUUUACCUAUUAAACUUCAAAAUAUCUUUUUACUAUUUUAUAACAGAAUUCAAAGUUAUGGUCACCGAUCACUCUGGUUCCACAAUAGCCUCCAUUUCAGACCAAUCAGCAGAGAAGAUAUUGAACCUCACAAAAGACAAGAGAUUUAUAACGUCUCCCGUGCAAAGAGAAAAGCGCUACUUCUUGACAAUGUGCAUAGACAAUUUAGAGCUAAGACUUUCAGAAUCCAAAUGAAAAGAUUAUUUUUCAAAAAUUUGGACAAGCUAGCUGUUUUGAAUUAUGAGGAAAAAGAAUCUGCCAGCCAGCCAUUACCAAUUGCACCAAUGAUGGACAUCGUUGAAGCAAGCAAGCGCAAGAUUAUGGAGAUCGGCUCAGAACCAAGGAACCAACAAAACCUUCCUGCCAAAGACAGACCUUCCAGCAGUAAACAGAAAAUCGAAAUCAGGGCCCCUAUCAAAAGGGACUAAAAGGUGCUAGAAAUGGUUUAUCAUUUUUUGUUAUAUCAUCUCCUUGCAAGAUUCUUAUCCUCACCUUUGGCCUUUGAUUUUGCCGGCAAGUUUUUGAAGCAUAGUAAAGCGCAAACAACUAAUCUUUUUGCCACAGCACUGUCUUUUUGAAAAGCUGGAUUAAAGAAAAACGAGCAUAUGCGACGCCCCAUGCUUUGAAAAGCCAUGGCGUCGCACAGCUACAACAUGAUUGCUACUAACAAAAUAGUCGACUGCAUUACUUUUUAACUUUUUGCCAGUACCAGCUUCUGUAAAUAUACAAUAAAAAUGAUAUGCAUAUAUGUAUAUAUGCAUAGACAGUGCAAUCAUUAAUGUAAUAGACAAACAACAUUUGCGUAUAUGUAUUAACAGUUUACGAUAUACGUGUUCAUCUAUAUAUAUAUUGUCACUAUCCAAUGCAUAUCUUUGCAAUUGUAAACAACUACAUACAGAUAGAUAUGCUAUAAUCCAAAGUGUUGUGCGCACGGGCACAUGCCAUCUAGUAAUAAAAGAGGGGAAGGAGUAUGACUAAAAUAGAAAAAAAAUCAAUCUAAUUUAGAUUAUGUUAAUUAAUUAAUGUUGACUUAAUAUAUAUACUAGUAAAAAUAUAGAUAAUUUUUAAUAUUUUUAUUAUUAUUACUAUAUUAUUUAUAUAAAUUUAGAUUAUAUUUUACUUUUAUUUUUUUGGUAUGAUGAUAUGAGUUGAAUGAAAAAAAAGGGGCAGUGAGGAUUGAUAUAAUUGGGCCCAACUUAUUUAAGAUUGAGGUAUGCUAGUAAUUGUUGUUGUUGUUGUUUGAAUGGACAUAAUUCAUUCUUCAUCAUGUUUUGUGGUAAGAUUUUCAUCCCUCUCCGUGUAUUAAUUCUUUUUGGUAAUAUAGAGGUUGGGAUCCUUGCCUAAUCUCCCUAUUUAGGUAGUUUAGGUCUUCUAUAAAAAUAAAAAGGGGGGCAAAAAUUGACAUUAUUUUAUUUUAAUAGUGUCAGAUAACCAACUACAAUCAGCAUCUUCAAGGCGAAGUCCUGUAUCAUUCAAAAUGUUCUACAUUAAUCUAUCUAUACUAUAUUAAAAGAACGAAGGGCCUUAAAAAUAUUGAUUAAACUUUUUACCCUUCAUUAAAAGACUUUACAAUGGACAAAAUCGUCAUUUACUAUUUUCCUUAAAUUGUUAUUUAAUUAUAUUGUAUUAUUUUUCUAAUAUUUAUAAAUUGAAAAUCUAUUAAAAUUAUGUCGUUAAACCUUACCUUAUUUGAAUUAUGUACCUAAAAUUUAUGACUUUGAAAUCAAAUAAUUUUUUUUUUUUGAGUCUUUCCUUAUUUGAAGUAUGAAUGAAUUCCUAAUAUAUAGGACUUUAAAAUAAAAUACAUUAAAAUUUUACCUUAUAAAUAUCUUUUCCUUAUUUUAAUUGUGUAUUCUAUAUUGGAAGGAUUGUUAAUACUUUAAGAUUUACGUUGGACACCGACAUGGACUUUAUAUUCUUCUAUUGAAUUUAAUUUCCAUUGGAAGUCUAAUUCGAUUGUCAUAGUAAAAGAAAAUCAAAUUACUAUAUAUAGGGUUAACAUGGACAAACGCAAAGCAGAAUCACGUUCUCAAGUUAGGGAAUCCUUCAUAUGUAAUAUGUUUUUGUUUGGAGGUGUUCUGUCAUAUGUAAUAUAAAAUGUAGCAGGUCCUUAUAUUUAUGGAUUCCGAUUUGAAGAUGAGAGAUUUAAUUUAUUUUUUUCCCCUUUCUUUCUUGAUACUAAAAUCACCAAGGUAGCAACUUUUCGUUGUCUAUGUGUUCUUUCAUAGGUAAUAUUUGCGGAUUCCGUAUUUAAAAUUAGAACUUUGCCUUCUUUCUUGAUGGUGAAUCGACCCCAAAAUAGAAAUAAAAAAAUUAACGUUGCUAUGUAAUUUUGCAGGCUGAGAGAUUGGCUACGGAUUAUAUGUUGCUUUGGGAAAGAUUUACCUGCAAAGCUCUAGAAGAUCAUGCCUGUUCAAUUUAUCUAUGAGAUUGUAAGUUUUACUUCUUAGUUUGAGUAUGUUGUCUACGUCACAAUCCUUGGAUGAAGCCCUUUCCCAGACUGUAGGCACAACCAAUAGAUAAAAUAUUUCGUCAAUAUAUUUUAUGUUGGAGCAACAUUUGUGUUUUUUCAUGCAUGAAAUUUGGCCAAAUUAAUUUUAAGAUUUUUCAUCAAGCUUUUUUAUUUUGUAAAUAUUAGUUAUGAUAAUUUUAUUAUGAAAGACUAAGAGAAGUAGAUGGUCGGACUGGCUUGGCGUGUGGACUCAGAGUUUUGGCAAUUUUAAUUGCAAAGUACCAUUAGGGUUGUCUUCAUUUCCAGAUUGGGUGUGAAGGUGAAUUUGAUAGUAAGUUACGGGGUACAGAAUUUUACUUGAAGAAAACACGUUUAGAUGAUGUGAUCUCUUCCUUCUCGCUCUGUAAAUAUUUUUGGAAUCUUCCGAAGUCAACACUUCAAAGUUCACACUCUGUAUGCUAAUACUUUAAGACGCGGUUUCAAUAACUUUUAUACUUUCUCUAAUUAGAUUUUAUGUUCCUGUUUUGACUCUAUGUGUUGCAGCUGUGUGCAAUUUUUAUGUUUUACACUUUACCUUAAUUGAUUUUUAAUUUUA